CGCUGGCAGAAUAAGAUCAGGCAUUUGAGAAGUUUUCUGCGUGGAUGGGCUAAGCAUCUUAGUGGGAUCUAUAAGGUCGAAAAGGAAAGGCUCCUUAACCUUAUUCAGUCCUUAGAUGUAAAAGCAGAAACCACUGUUCUGCCACCCUCGGAGCUUCAUGCCAAGCUUGACGCGGAGAUGAGGCUGAAAGAGCUUCUUCGAGAGGAGGAAUUGAAGUGGGCGUUGCGGGCCAAGGUCCGGCGAGUAGUCCAGGGGGACGCGAACACUCAAUUCUUUCACAUGGUCGCUAAUGGUAAACAUAGAAAGAAGAGGAUCGUCCAGCUUGAGCAAGAUGAAGGAACGAUUUUAGGACAGGAAAACCUAAAACUAUACAUUACCGAGUAUUACAAGCAGUUGUUU
rnacentral:rRNA from 1 species